UGCUCAGCUGCAGCCAGGGCUUCGGGAGGCUCUGCCUGGAGGUGCCUGGGGAGCUGUGCAGGGCCAGCUCUGGUAGUUGCCUGGAGGGCACAGCCCUGAGCCCCAACUCCACUACCCCACCCAUCAGCAGAGAAUGAUGUAGGUCGUCUGUUCGUUGCCUACAGAGCCCCCUCCACCACCUGCACUCUGACCCCGUCAUCCAGGAAACCCAAACACAGAGAUCCUAGGCCCUCACUAGGCCCUGGUCUGACUCGAGUAUCCGUUUCCUCCCCUGUGGAGAUCCCUGGACUCACUGAAGAAAGUGGCCGCUAUAGAGUGUGGGUGAGUAGCCCUUGCUGCCUGAGCAGGAAGGAGCAAGCGGACAUGUCAACAGGAAGCCUCGUCAGUUCUGUGGGUAAGCCUGUCGCUUUGUGACUGCAUCAGCCAGUGGUUGCUAGGUUACCUGUCCCACAACUCCAGAACCACUCCCCAGCACCCGUCUCCUCACUCCCACCCAGCUCCUCUUACCCUGCCCGAAGGGGCAGGCAGGGCUCACUGAGGAAUCGCUCACUCUCCCAGCCCCCUCUCUGCUGCCCAUUCAGUGCUUUCAAUGGGGACCAGGGGGUAGAAUGAGAAUCAGGGGCUGGUUUCAGCCAGCGAGCAGCAGGCAGAGGGAGAAAAACUGGCCAAGAAGUUCGGUUGGAUGGGCCCCAGCUCUUUCAGCCAAAUCGGGCUGUCUGCCACCAUGGAGCGGUCUGCCUCCGUGCAUCCUAUUUCUGGGGGUUGCUUGGCAGGGACUGUCUCAUAGAUGGAGAGGAGGAGGCCGCCUACAUGAUCCAAAGCAUCCCUGCAGCGCUGCUCUGCAGGAUAGUUGGGUGGGAGGCCCCUAGGCUUUCAGUUGGGCCAUGAUUUCAGCGGGAUUCUGACACUCCCUACAUGUGCCCCUUGGGUAAGUUGCCUGUACUGCCAGAGACAUGGAACAGUGGUAAGAAUGCUUGGUUCAGAUCAGCUCUACUUCCUACCGGUGCAGCCUCAGACCACUUACAUGAUGUCUCUGAGCCUCAGUUCCCAUGUCUCUGGAAUGGAGAUGAUACUUGCAGUUACUUUCACAGGAUUUUUGAGAAUAAGUGACUUAAUAGACUUGAAAGUGUUUAGAAUAGUGCCUGGCACCAAGUAUGAUCUCUUAUGUUAUUACCUUCUCUGAGCCUGUAAAAUAGGCUACAGUCACCCACUUCUGGGGUUGUUCUAAAGGACAAACGAGCUAAUGGAAGUGAAGCACCUAGUCAUAUGCCUGGCGCACAAGAUGCUCAAAAAUGCUCACUUGGAAGAUUUCCCACAAUGUGACCUGACACAGCCGAGAGUCAAACCCACUCUCACCCUCCCGCUGCGCCUCCCAGCCCUUCCACUGUACUGUUUAGAACUGAGCACCCUCUCUACGUGCAGAUUGCAGCUUUGGGAUUGAAGACAAGAAUAGGCCCUCGAGCUGUGGACCACUUGGCCAAGAGAAUCAUAAACCAGAAACCUCCUGACUCCCGAAACUGCAGUUACAGAAAUGUCACAUGAUAAUUAAUCCCAGCCUCUUGUUCUUCCCUUUUCAAUCAUCUCUAACUCAAAGACCAAAUGGCAUGGGUCUGAGGAUUGUCUUUCACUCCCUUGCCGAUCGCACUACAAUAAACCCUC